ACCGCCUGCGAGGAUCAAAACUUAUUUGGAAUUACCGGCUGAGUUCUUUGAUGUUAACCUUUGGCUGUUUUUCUGAGGCAUUCU